rnacentral:misc_RNA from 1 species
GAGUUCAUCAGAGGACUUUCUAUAUUCCCAACAAGGAUAUCCUAGCAACUCCACUGAAAUAUUUAGUGAUUGUGUGUAAUUUUUAAAUUGACUUAAAUGUGUACAUUUACUUGUGUAGUUGCUGAAAUAUUACAUGACACUUUGAAAAUUUGAUAAAAAUCUGCAGACUUCAAUGCUCUAUAAAUGACACAAGCAAAAGUUGAUAUGUAGCAUUUUAAAAAUGAAGGCCUGCUCUUAGUAAAGAAAGAUUUUGUUUUUAUUUUGGGUUGGCCCGUCCUGGGAUCUACUAGUAGAUCUUGUGAAGUAAUCGACAAGUUGCUGUACAUCAGUAGAAUGGGUGAUGCAUGUCUUAACACAAGUUGUUUGUACUGUAAGGUAUUUGUGAAGAAAGGUUCUGCAUAUAUGUAAUUGAUGAGUAUUGUAUUUGCAAUUUGAACUGUACUCUAAAUAGUAAAAUAAAUCAGUCUUUCAAACC